GUUGAACGCUGGCGGCAGGCCUAACACAUGCAAGUCGAACGGUAACAGGAAGAAGCUUGCUUCUUUGCUGACGAGUGGCGGACGGGUGAGUAAUGUCUGGGAAACUGCCUGAUGGAGGGGGAUAACUACUGGAAACGGUAGCUAAUACCGCAUAACGUCGCAAGCCCAAAGAGGGGGACCUUCGGGCCUCUUGCCAUCGGAUGUGCCCUGAUGGGAUUAGCUAGUAGGUGGGGUAACGGCUCACCUAGGCGACGAUCCCUAGCUGGUCUGAGAGGAUGACCAGCCACACUGGAACUGAGACACGGUCCAGACUCCUACGGGAGGCAGCAGUGGGGAAUAUUGCACAAUGGGCGAAAGCCUGAUGCAGCCAUGCCGCGUGUAUGAAGAAGGCCUUCGGGUUGUAAAGUACUUUCAGCGGGGAGGAAGGGAGUAAAGUUAAUACCUUUGCUCAUUGACGUUACCCGCAGAAGAAGCACCGGCUAACUCCGUG
rnacentral:rRNA from 1 species